rnacentral:rRNA from 1 species
AUGGUCACUCGUACCCGUGAUGCUACUCAUCCUGACAAGGAGUUUACUGAUGGGACGGUGCGGUAUAAUCCUCUUCGUUGUGCUUUCUUUGUGACACCGAUGUCACAUCGUGAUGCUCUCCGUGAGCCGGUGUGGCAUGCUGCUAUGGCUGCUGAGUUUGCAGCGCUUCGUCAAAACGGCACUUGGGUCUUGGUUCCUCGACCACCUGGCGUUAACAUUGUUGGUAGUAAGUGGGUUUUCAAAACGAAGCAACAUGUCGAUGGGUCUGUUGACAAGCACAAGGCUCGCCUCGUCGCUCGUGGUUUUACUCAACAACACGGUCUUGACUACGGUGAUACCUUCAGCCCCGUGGUGAAGCCGACUACUAUCCGUUUGGUUCUUUCGCUUGUUGUUUCGCGUGGAUGGAGCUUGAGGCAGAUUGAUGUUAGCAAUGCAUUUCUUCAUGGCUUUCUUUCCGAGACUAUUUAUAUGCAGCAACCACUAGGUUUUGAAGAUGCCUGGUUCCCUUCGCAUGUGUGCAAGUUGCAACGAGCUCUUUAUGGUCUCAAAUAG